rnacentral:rRNA from 1 species
UACAGAGGUCCCAAGCGUUGUUCGGAUUCACUGGGCGUAAAGGGUGCGUAGGUGGCCAGGUAAGUUUGGUGUGAAAGCUCGGAGCUUAACUCCGAAAAGUCAUUGAAUACUAUCUGGCUGGAGGGUCGGAGGGGAGACUGGAAUUCUCGGUGUAGCAGUGAAAUGCGUAGAUAUCGAGAGGAACACCAGUGGCGAAGGCGAGUCUCUGGACGACUCCUGACACUGAGGC